GCUGCCUUUGUGGCAAAAAAAAAGCAGAACGUGCUGGGAACAUUCAGUAGGUCAGUCAGUCUCUGGAGAGAGGAUGUACACCUCACUGUUCAUUUCAGAACCAGUUUUCUCUGCCUCCUUUAACUCAGAAAUUAUUCGGUAGAAUAUAAUUUGGACAGAACUUGUUUUAUCCUUCCAAUGUAAAAUAAGAUCGACUUAAAGCAUCGAGCUUGCACUUUGAAAGCAUUAAGUUCAAUAGUAAUUAAUAGAGAAAAAAAUCCGAUCAGUUUUUCAGCCGAAUAUUGGAUACGUUCAGUAAUGUCAGCUUUAAUUGUUCAUGGCACAACAACCACCGUUUGACGUUACAUUGACAAUGUUAGACAAAGACAUGGCGUACCGAGAUAAAUGGGAUCUUAGGAAAGUGGUAACGAUGUCAUAUUACUGCAAGCGUACAAAAUAAACAGAAGUUUAAAAAAAAUUGGAUUUCAUUGAAAUGAUGAGUGGCAUUGUCAUUUUGCUGUUCAUUCCAAUUGUGGAAUAGCAUUUAUAUUUAAGAUUUAAAAUAUGAAGAAUUCACACAAUUUAAUGGAGAGAUGGAACUACUGAGUGCUAUUAUAUGCCCACGGAUGGGCGUCCAAAUAAUUCGUGCUACAAUGGCAAGUCUCUGAUUUCCAACAAGGGGGUGACGGAGCUGAUUUUGCCAAUCUGGAGCGUCAGAUGGCAAUUCUGAGCAAUUAUUGUGUGGUGUCUCCCAUCUGUAUGGUCUCUGUUGCUGUUUCUAUUCUGAUGGCAGCAAAGAAAGGGAGAAAAUAACUGGAGGACGGGUAAGAAGUUGGUAGAGUGAUUAAUCCAGCAAGAGAAACCGAGCAGAUUCGCGUCCUGUUACAUCUCUGCAACGAGUAGCGGCGGCGGGAGCGAGAGGGGUUUCUCUCUCUCUCUCUCUCUGUCAUUCUCUUGUUGGCAGAAACCCAGCUCUAUUCCAGCGCCCGCACCGAAUAGAUAUAACAGAGCGAGACCGACUGCCGUGCAGAAACGAGACUAUGAUCCGGGUUUGUUCUUCAUUUCUCCUCCACCCACCCGCCCCCCAACCACGACCACUACCCACGAGUCGUGGCGUCAGCAGAGCUGGGAAAUCAUUCCCCUAAUAAGCAUCGCCAGCGGUUAGCAUCAAAGAUAAAGGAGGGGAGCCGCUGCCAGGCUCCUGACAAGUGAAUUGCCCGACAGCCGAAGCCCAAUCGUGCACACGGUAACACCACAGCAGCAGCAAGAACAAAAAGAGAGUUUGCACAAGCCCACCCCUCCUCCGCACGGCCAGUCCUCCUGCUCUCCUUGUGUUGUCCGGCACAGGACUGGUGCCUGGUUUUGGUGAUGGUCAGGAGGCGGGUGCUGUGCAGUGGCCGCCGCCGCUGAGGCCGGGCCGGGCGGAGCGGAGCGCGCGACAGUCGGACAGCCCCAGGUGUUCCCGAGCGUCACAAUCAGAACGGCCCGAGCCGCGGGCGGGAAAAGCUGCAGAGAGCCGGAGCCCGCGCCCCGGGUGGAUACCCACCCACACCAACACCAACAUCAACCAUGGGCUGCUGCAGCGGCAGGUGCACUCUCAUCUUCAUCUCCAGCCUGCAGCUAAUAUGUGUGUUGGAGAGACAGAUCUUUGAUUUCCUUGGCUACCAAUGGGCACCAAUCCUGGCCAAUUUUUUACACAUUGUCACAGUCAUUUUUGGCCUUUUUGGGACCAUCCAGUUCAGACAACGAUAUGUAAUCAGGUAUGCCAUCUGGAUGGUCCUCUGGGUGACAUGGAAUGUGUUUGUUAUCUGCUUCUACUUGGAGGUUGGAGGCCUUGCAAAGGAUACUGACCUGAUUAUGACCUUUAACAUUUCUAUGCAUCGCUCUUGGUGGAUGGAGAAUGGACCAGGAUGUGCAGUAGCAACUAUAACUGAUACUCCAGAAUGGGUACCAGAGGAUCACCGCUACAUUUAUAUCAGAGGGUGUCUCCUAGAAUACCAGUAUAUAGAGGUGGCACAUAGUUCACUACAAGUUAUCCUUGCACUUCUUGGAUUUGUUUAUGCCUGUUACGUGAUCAAAAUUGUUGCUGAAGAAGAAGACAGCUUUGAUUUCAUCGGAGGGUUUGACUCAUACGGCUAUCAGGGCCCACAGAAAACAUCUCAUUUACAGUUGCAGCCCAUGUACAUGCUCCACAGAUGACCCAUCACCCUGCUCAUCCAGUGCAGAGAACCCAACCUUCUCCUCAGAGAAUGGUCAAAAUAAACUGGCAACUGGCAACACCUUAAUUUCAAAGAUUCUAGUGGUGAUAACUUUUUAUUGUGCAAUGUGGAGCAUGGCUGACCAUUCUUCAAGUGGUGGCCCAGCCCAGAGUCUUGGGACAACAGAAGACCCAACCAAAAUGCAGGCAGAUGAAAUACUUCAAAGAUUUGAAACUGUACACCACAACCAGCAAUCUUCCUCCAGUUGGUUGGAACAUGCUGAAAAAUAAUGCUGAAUUUUGGUGCCUCGAAGAUGAAACUAAAGUAUUGUUGCCCUCUACAGGCUAAUAUGAAAAUCUCAUGGCAUUAUUCUCGUGUGAGUCCAGAUUGCCAAUUAUAAGUGCAAGUGUUCAUCAACAAAUUAGAUUAACUGUUUAUGUUUCAAGGUCAUUGUUGAAUAUAUAUUUUCUGGAUUAGCCAGACAUGGUGAAUUGAAUCAGUGCCAUAGUUUUACUAAGGAUUAAAUAAUGCAACCAAAUGUGAGCUUCUUUUCAUACAAGCAGCACAUUUGCCUUAAUACAUGAAAGUCUAAACAUCUGUAAAUGAGUUAAAAUCUGGGCAUUUUUUAUAACGUUAAAACAUUUCCUGAAUGAUUACUGGUGGAGUUAGCACUCUCUGAUAAACUGCUAUCACAUGGCUGUGCAGGAGAUGCUUUGCAUACCGAAGGUCUUCAGUGAAUAGCCCACAUCAUCGUUUUUUUAUUCCUACACAAAAGUAAAUGUGAAGCUGUGGAGGAAAUAGGCAGCAGUAGUAUAUGUGAAUAGUUGAAAGCCUUUAUAGGUCAUGUGAAAUAAAGCUGAAAGAGCCAAUCAAAUGUGGUAGUUGAGAAUAGUGAAGAGAGAUUUGUUUCUUAUUCCCACUGCUUCUGCUGUCGACUAAAACUAGAUAUUGUUUUCUACCUUAAUGUAUACAGCAAGUAUUACGUUUGAACACAGGGAUAUAUGUACAUUUACAUGCAUUUAUGCAAAUUAAAAGUUAGAAGUUGUAUUUAUUGUUAUUUUUUAAUGCACCAAUCUGUUGAAAUACUCUGUGGUGAUCAUCUUUGUUACUACCUGUAUCAAAGGAACAUGACUUUCGUAUCUGUGUUAGUGCUCUGUUGGUCCUAUGGUAUUUGGGGGAAACAAAAUCUGCAGUAAAAUAUGUCUCAAACAUAUGUCUUAGCUGUAUUUGUGGUUCAUUGUUAUGCUUCACUUGGUAAUUUGGCAGGACUACUAAGAACCAAAUUGUAGUGAUGUGCUUGUGAAAAUGUUCUCUAACUGCCAACUCAAAAACCCCUUUUUUUUUGGCAAAUGCUUUGAUCGAUAGCAAAUGUUGCAACCCAGAGUUAUACUUCCAGUUUUUAAAUUUAAAUCUCUAUUUAUGACAUUACAAGAUUACAGUGAUUAUUCCAUUGCUAACAUAAUACCAGAGCAUUUCAACUUCACAAUCUUUCCUUUGAGAUACACAUUUGAUGAUAUGGUGAGUAAAAGCAGAUUGCUGAUUCUCAUUUGAUGAUAUUGGUAAUAAUCCAAAAACCAAGGGAAAACGUUAUCCAAAAGGAAGUCUAUUGUCUGUGCAAAAUGUAAUUAUUUGAGGUCAUGUGAUUGUCUGGAUUGGAAUCCUCAGUAAUGUAAAAAAAAUUUAGACAAAAACUGCCUUUGAACUCAGCUUACAUUAGCUGUGCUUUAAAAAUGGAAACCUGGGCUGACAUAUGUGGAUUUUCUUUUGCCUUAAUAUAGUCUGAGCAUCACAGGGCAGAGAUUCAGCUUGGGUAGGAGUAUAAAAUAUCAAAGCAGCCACCUGUUACUAAUGUUUAAUCAACCUAUUCAUAGAUAAUUAUGACACAUCUCUGGCACAGGUGGAACAUGAAUGUAGGCCUCCUUGCUCAGAGAUAGUGACAGUACCACAAGCCACCAGUUAGAUUCCUAGUUCAAUAUUCAGUCCUAUUGACUUCAAAAGCUCUGAAUAUGAGAUAGUGGAUGUCAGUGAAUUGGAUAUCACUUGUUCUUGAUUGCCACUCCAAGAUGAAUUUCUACCCCCAAGGUUCUUUAUCAACAUCAUCCAAAACUGAACAAUAUUAAGAAUAGUAUACGUAUAAUAAUUUUGACAUCAUUAGUGAGUAGUCAGAUAUUGAAAUAAUGACUGCAUGCUAAAUGAUUAAGCCCAGUCUUAGUUUGGUCUGUAUAAUUCUACAGGGAUGUUUACAACAGGGCCAGUGAAUAAAUUUUUAUCUUCACCAAAUCUUAUCCAAAGAAUGAAAAUUGGGCAUCUUCUAUUAUAGGCAGAUCAUCUACUUCACCAGAAUUCUGUUCAAGUAGUGAUGAUGAACAAAGUUUGGGUGAAGAUUUGUAGCUCGGUUGCUCGUUGUUGUGGUUCUGUUCGCCGAGCUGGA